CUGUGUAGGAGGAAACAUAGGUGUUAUCUUAGAUGGGAGUGAUUAUUUGCUAAAUGCAAUUUUGACUGCUUCUAAUUUGCUGCUCAGAGAUUCCGUCCUUGAACCAAACACCAAAAUUUUUAAGUUGAAAAGAUUGAAAUAGCAUCAGGUAGUAAUGCAGAUGUUAUAGAGGACAACUCUUGCAUCUUUCAAUUCCUUGGUAGUUUUGCCACCCCCAUCCCUCAUCCUUUACUGGUUUUAGUGAAUUCUGAAAGGGGACUUUGAUUCUCUGAAUGGCACCAAGAUAGAAAAUGGCUUUGGUAACAUCUUAGAGCAGUGAGUAGUUCUUAACCAGGGAUGGACAUCAGAAUCCCCCAGGGAGUAUCUACUAAACACCAGGCCUGCUGAAUCAGAGUCUGGGUGAAAGGCAGGCACAUGUAGUUAGGAAAAGCUCUGGAUAUGAUUCAGCUGUGCCUUCAUGACUAAGAGCCACUGCUCUGUUCUACUGCCAUUCUGUGAUAAGAUCAGUACAAACCUUCAGGGUAAGUGUUCAGAAACAUUUACAGCAAAUUCACAGAGUAUGUCUAUUAAAUGUAAUAAGUUUGAGCUUGUAUUUUGCAUGUAUUUUACUUUGUUUUAUAUUUUACAAAAUUACCAGUCUGUGAUGAAUUGGAAAUGUUAAAAAUCAACCUUACUCACGUUUUUAUUUCUUCCCUCUAGCACAAUCAUUUUCUGUUCCUGAUGGAACAAUGAGAAGGGUGGGGGAUGAAAAUUUCUGGCCACCGUGCUCUGGCCUCCUGUUCAAGCAUCUAAAAAUAAGCAGAUCAUUCACGCUGGGCCAAAUGACCUCCGCUGGCAUACUCCUGUGCCCUUGUUGUGCUAAAAGAGAAUCUAUCUCUUCCUUUGACUUUCAUUACAAAAAGCCUCUUUCUCUAACCUUUGUUUUAUGUAGGUGCCAUUAUUAUUACUGGGAGCAGUGUUGUGUGAUAAAUACAGGUGCUUUGGAAACAGCAACUUUGGAUUGGAUUCCGACUCUGCCUCUUACUUGUGUGGCUUAGGGAAUUUUUUAUUUUUUAGAGACAGGGUCACACUCUGUCGCCCAGGCUGGAGUGCAGUGGCAUGAUCAUAGCUUAAGUGAUCCUUCUACCUUGGCCUCCUGAGUAGCUGGCUGGAAGACAGAGCGAGACUGUAUCAAAAAAAAAAAAAAAAAGAAAAAGAAAAGAUAAAAGAAAGUAUUGUCUCAUUCUGGAUGCUGGAAGUCCAAAAUUAUAUUGUCGGAAGGACCAUGCUUUCCCAAAGGCUCCAGGAAGAAUCUGUUCCAUUCCUUUCUCUUAGCUUCUGGUGUCACCAGCA
rnacentral:lncRNA from 1 species